CAGCAGUGAGUGUAUGAGCUGCUGGUCAGCGAGGCUCCAAACCGCCACCACGCCGUCAUCUGAACCUGCAACCAGAAGCUCCGCCUCCACACCGACAUCCACGCAGAGAACACCUGAAGACAUGACGACAGGAAGACUCACGAUGAAAGCUGGCCCGGCUGAAACCUUCUUGCAGUUCCUGAUCUCCUGCAGGAAGAUCUCACAGGCCUCAUGGUCUCCAGAUGAGAUGUUUCGAAUCCCCCAGCGCAGAUCCACAACCUAAACAGGCAGUGACCUCGCUGAUCAAUAAGCAGGGUGAGUUAAGGUGUACUGACCUGUGAACGUGGAGCUGAUGAACACUCGGAUCACGUUGGAUCUGGUCUUCAUGCUCCGAGCUCCAUCUGUCCGUCCUCUCAGGACGUCCUGCAAGCUGAC